UACGCUCUUGGUGCGCCGCAACUCGCAAUGAGUACGCGACGCCCCGGGAAUGCGAGGUAACAUAAAUAUCGUUACCCAUCUUCCCUAUAAUUAAUGAAUUAAUAAAAAUUCAAAAAAUAUUUACUUUCAUUACGCCUUUAGGUUUAAUAAAAGUAUCCCAAUGACUUGCGCACAUGCUAGACUCCUUGGUCCGUGUUUCAAGACGGGUCCUAUAAUUACCCAAAACAUAAACGCCGUUGACAGAUGAUAAGAAACGGUUCGAGAACAUCAUAACUAACAAUACCAAAUGUGUAGAACCGGCAUAAACUCCGAUUUCCACACUUAAUAAGUCAUUUGAGUAUUUGUUAUAAGUCUGAAACGCUCACUAAAAUAUUAUAGCGAUCCAUCAUCAUAUAUAUUACCAUCAGACAGAUGUCGGGACAUUAUUAGUCCGUGAACGCACAAGCCAUAAACUUGACGCCACGGUCUCCAUAAUAAGCCUUAGACAACAUAAUCCAAUGGGUCACGACGUCCUACUAGAGGAGAAGUGCACGCCUCCGUAUACAAAAUAGCAUAAAACAGUGGAGCACAAUAUGACAAUAUAUAAUAUAUAAAUAUCAUAAAUGCAUAUCAUGUCUCAUAUACAAUACACCGCUAUAUGUAUAUAUCCGGUAAGGCAAUUGAAUCUCCUCUUUCGAACUUUCGGGAAUUAUAGGUUUACCCCUGAACAGUUUCACGUACUCUUGAACUCUCUCUUCAAAGUCCUUUUCAACUUUCCCUCACGGUACUUGUUCGCUAUCGGUUUCGCAGUAAUAUUUAGCCUUAGAUGGAGUUUACCACCCACUUAGAGCUGCACUCUCAAGCAACCCGACUCUAAGGAGAAACCCACCAAAAUAUAUAAACGGUCACUACGGGCCUGGCACCCUCUAUGGGCGAAUGGCCCCCUUCAAGAAGGACUUGAACUCGCUUAUAAAUACUUUGGUUAAACGGGCUCUCCCAAACACUACAUUGCCCGACGACCGUUUCCGAUCGUGGGCUUCAGUGCUGGGCUUUUCCCUGGUCGCU
rnacentral:rRNA from 1 species